GACGAACGCUGGCGGCGUGCUUAACACAUGCAAGUCGAACGGAAAGGCCCUGCUUUUGUGGGGUGCUCGAGUGGCGAACGGGUGAGUAACACGUGAGUAACCUGCCCUUGACUUUGGGAUAACUUCAGGAAACUGGGGCUAAUACCGGAUAGGAGCUCCUGCUGCAUGGUGGGGGUUGGAAAGUUUCGGCGGUUGGGGAUGGACUCGCGGCUUAUCAGCUUGUUGGUGGGGUAGUGGCUUACCAAGGCUUUGACGGGUAGCCGGCCUGAGAGGGUGACCGGCCACAUUGGGACUGAGAUACGGCCCAGACUCCUACGGGAGGCAGCAGUGGGGAAUAUUGCACAAUGGGCGGAAGCCUGAUGCAGCAACGCCGCGUGCGGGAUGACGGCCUUCGGGUUGUAAACCGCUUUCGCCUGUGACGAAGCGUGAGUGACGGUAAUGGGUACAGAAGCACCGGCUAACUACGUG
rnacentral:rRNA from 1 species